UAUUGAGGGCGCAUAACCCCACCCCUGGAUAAUACACAAUCAGGAUCUAUGCAAAGACGUCAAAGAUAUCACCCCUGUCUUGUCAAGACAGUUUAGUUCGAGUUCUGCUAUCGUUGAAGGUUAAACUCCUCUACUUUUCGCGAGUGAAUACGAAAUAUUUCGCGAAUUUAUUUUCAUUGAAUUACCUCGAAUUUUAUUGAAUUUGAUUUCGCGGGUGAAUCGGAGUUCUUUGGAAAUUAUAUGUAAUUUUGAAUUUGAAUUUUUGUGGAUUCAAUUUUGGAAAAUUUCAUAUACUUUUAGUCAACUUUCUGAAUGAAUCUGAGUUUUUUUCAGGGAAUAACUUGUCAUUUUUAUUUCGGCUUUUGUUAAUUCAAAGUUGUAAACAUUUUCUCUUAUUUCAUUGAAGUUAACAAACUAUAUAUAAAGAUUAUUGGCUUUGAACAAUGAAUACUUGAUUCAUCUAUUGUUCCAGUUAAUUUAUUUUAAUUUUUGUUGGAUUUAACUUCGUAAUUAAAUCGCGAUUUUUCGGGAAUUUAAGUCGAGUCUUGUAAAAUGACUUUCGCAAUUUUUAUUCGAAUGCUCUUCAAUCGAACUUUCACCUUGAAGAUCUUCCCCCGAAGAUAUUGGUCAGUGGGACUUCAGAUAAUUGAAAAUAAAGGACUCAUCUAGAUCACGAGAACCAAAGGAUCACAUCCAGAGAAUUUCCAGAGGCCUGAAUACGAAAGGACGACCCCUUGAUAUUUUUAACGAUCCAUAUUAACAUCAACUUGUUUGUUCUUCCAUUAUAUUCUGUGACAAUGUCCGAAGGAGAGAAAGGGCAGAGUCUUCUCGUUGAUCUCAAGCUCUUGAAAACCAUCACGAGGCAACCCCCUAUGUUAUUAUUGAAAACAUUUUCAAAAUUCUGGAAUUUGCAUAUUCAUUACAUACCAACAAAAAUAAUCUCUUCGUCAAGACGAAGAUAUUCGCACUAUUGUAGCCUGAUAAUAUUGGAUGGAAAGAAAGUAUUAGCUACUGGAUCCGGAUUGGGGCGUCUUGCAUUUGAGGCAAAAAGCAAAGCAGCUAAAUCGCUGCUGCAGAAAUUGUUGGGACCGCUGGUGACUCCCGCUGACACUUCAAAGGUCUUUGAUAAUCCGAUCAUCGAAACUCUCCAUUCUGUUUGCGAGAUUCACGGAAUUGGAGAACCCGAGUUCGAGUUAACGAAUAGGGAAAGGAGAUAUACGAUUUACGCAUCAGUUCUUCAUGAUCGACAUGCGGGUUUUGGAAGAAAUUUAGAGGAUGCUUGCAUUGACGCAGCUGGAAAACUUCUUAAGGAACUCCAAGACAAAUAUUCGAUAAUAGCAUCAAGAAGGGAAACGAGUGUUACAACUGGCAAAUUGUCAUGACUUCCUGAUCCUGAUAAACUUCGUGAUCAGCAAUAAAUAUUAUUGAUUAUGUUAUGAGUGGUGUUGAGUCAGUAAAGAAAAUAUACAAUUAAUAGCAAUACAGAAAUAUUAUAAUUGAUAGGAUACUUCGAAACAAGUGGAAAAAGUGGCUUUCGGAUCGUCGAAUUAUAUCAGUCGCUUUUGUCUAUUAUUUGUUCAUAAGAAGUAAAUGUUUAAAAAAAUACUAAGACUUUCCGAAAUUUAAUAUAUGUAAUUUUAACUAUGGAAUUAGUUAAAAAAUUUGGUUGGUGAAAAUAUUCGAAAACCGGGGAUUCGGUCGGCAAAAUAUCGAACUGAGGGAAGAGCUACUUUAUCAGGACAUAAAUGUAGAAGGGAAUAUAUUUGAUUGAUUGAAAUUGAUAAAUAAUGAAAUUAGCAUUGAUAAAUAGGAAAAUAAUUAUUAUAGCAUGUAAAGGGGUAAUUAAGAACCUAAAACAUAUUUUUAAUGAAUCAAUUAAAGGAUUUGAUAUGUAAUGGCAAUAAGUAAAGAAACGAUGUGGGGAAAUAAAAAAAUGUUGCAUAUUAGACUACAAUACCGGAAUAACAAUUGCUUAUAUGUUGAUAUAAAUUCAU